rnacentral:rRNA from 1 species
UGCGCAGGCGGUCAGAUAAGUCGGGUGUGAAAUCCCAAGGCUUAACCUUGGAACUGCGCUCGAAACUAUCUGGCUAGAGGGUUGGAGAGGAGACUGGAAUUCACGGUGUAGCGGUGAAAUGCGUAGAUAUCGUGAGGAACACCAAUGGCGAAGGCAGGUCUCUGGACAACUCCUGACGCUCAUGCACGAAAGGCCAGGGGAGCAAACG